rnacentral:tRNA from 1 species
GCUGGCAUAGCUCAACUGGUAGAGCAACUGAUUUGUAAUCAGUAGGUUGUGGGUUCAAGUCCCUCUGCCAGCU